AAAGCCUUCGGCUUAACCGGAGAAGUGCAUCGGAAACUGGAUAACUUGAGUGCAGAAGAGGGUAGUGGAACUCCAUGUGUAGCGGUGGAAUGCGUAGAUAUAUGGAAGAACACCAGUGGCGAAGGCGGCUACCUGGUCUGCAACUGACGCUGAGACUCGAAAGCAUGGGUAGCGAACAGGAUUAGAUACCCUGGUAGUCCAUGCCGUAAACGAUGAGUGCUAGGUGUUGGAGGGUUUCCGCCCUUCAGUGCCGGAGCUAACGCAUUAAGCACUCCGCCUGGGGAGUACGACCGCAAGGUUGAAACUCAAAGGAAUUGACGGGGGCCCGCACAAGCGGUGGAGCAUGUGGUUUAAUUCGAAGCUACGCGAAGAACCUUACCAGGUCUUGACAUCUUGCGCCAACCCUAGAGAUAGGGCGUUUCCUUCGGGAACGCAAUGACAGGUGGUGCAUGGUCGUCGUCAGCUCGUGUCGUGAGAUGUUGGGUUAAGUCCCGCAACGAGCGCAACCCUUGUUACUAGUUGCCAGCAUUAAGUUGGGCACUCUAGUGAGACUGCCGGUGACAAACCGGAGGAAGGUGGGGACGACGUCAGAUCAUCAUGCCCCUUAUGACCUGGGCUACACACGUGCUACAAUGGACGGUACAACGAGUCGCGAACUCGCGAGGGCAAGCAAAUCUCUUAAAACCGUUCUCAGUUCGGACUGCAGGCUGCAACUCGCCUGCACGAAGUCGGAAUCGCUAGUAAUCGCGGAUCAGCAUGCCGCGGUGAAUACGUUCCCGGGCCUUGUACACACCGCCCGUCACACCAUGAGAGUUUGUAACACCCAAAGUCGGUGGGGUAACCUUUAGGAGCCAGCC
rnacentral:rRNA from 1 species